GAUGAAGAACGUAGCGAAAUGCGAUAAGUAAUGUGAAUUGCAGAAUUCAGUGAAUCAUCGAAUCUUUGAACGCACAUUGCGCCCCUUGGUAUUCCGAGGGGCAUCCCUGUUCGAGCGUCAUUAUAACCCCUCAAGCUCAGCUUGGUGUUGGGGCCUGCUGCACUGGCAGCCCUUAAAAUCAGUGGCGGCGCCAUCUGGCUCUAAGCGUAGUAAUUCUUCUCGCUAUGGAGUCCUGGUGGAUGCUUGCCAUCAACCCCCAAUUUUUCUAUGGUUGACCUCGGAUCAGGUAGGGAUACCCGCUGAACUUAAGCAUAUCAAUAAGCGGAGGA
rnacentral:misc_RNA from 1 species